GAUGGGAAGAAGGCAGGACUCAGCAGGGCCGGGCUAGAGGGAAAGGGCGGAGCUUCCAACACAGUCUCUUGGCAACAGGCUUUGGCCGCCAAACCGCUCAAUCAAAUCCCUUCUGGGAACUGUAGUGUAGCUAGAAGGUCCGAGGCUGCACACCAUGCGAUUUUGAACUACAACUCCCGACCUGCACAGGGAGGGCCACAAGAGCGGGCCAGUAGAAGCAUUCACCAACUAAACUGUGCCUUGGGAGAAGGAGAUGAGACUGUUGGAGAAGAAGCACCGGAUCCUUCUGUUAGUACCAAUGUAGGAAAAGAGGACACUGAGGCAGCCUGGCACGAACUGCACUAUAGCCACGCCGUUAAUCAGCUGAGAGCUUUGUUAUGCCAACAAACAAGUAAGGAAAGUGAGAUAUCUCCAUCAAGAAGACGAAAAAUGUCCCCUUUGAGGUCUUCAGAAUAUGAGGAAAACAACAUGCCUACUGUGCACAACCUUGUUCCUAUCAUGAAUGAUCAAUCUCAAUACAUUCAUCACUUAGAGGCAGAAGUCAAGUUCUACAAGGAGGAACUAUCUGGAAUGAAAAAUAGGGUACAAGUAGUUGUGGUUGAAAAUGAAAGACCCCAGCAAGAGCUGAAAUCUCAGAUACAAGAGGAGACAAUGAGGGAACAAACCAUUCAGGAUGUAUCAGGGAACAUGCAGAAUUCUUGGGUUGCAACAGGUGAAGAUUCUAGGGUGGGUGAAGCUGUAAAGAGACCAUUUUCCCAUGGUGACGGAGAUACUCAAAGAGGUGCUGGUGAGGCUGGAAAAUGGAAGCUAGAGCUGGAGAGGCUAAAACUUACAUAUGAGGCAAAAAGUGAAAUCCUUGAUUCUCAACUGACAUUUUUGAGGAGAGACUUAGCUGAAUAUCAGAAAGACUGUGAACAUCUUAAACAGCAAUUAAAACAUAAAGAGUCUCUUCUUGCUACUAAUGUCUCCAACCGUGUUGGUGGUCUUUGUUUGAAGUGUGCUCAGCAUGAAGCUGUUCUUUCCCAAACCCAUAAUAAUGUGCACAUCCAGACCAUCGAAAGACUGACUAAGGAAAGAGAUGACUUAAUGUCUGCACUCAUUUCUGUAAGGAGCAGCUUGGCAGAUAUGCAGCAGAGAGAAACAAGUGCUUAUGAACAGGUCAAAGAAGCUGUGCAUAUGACCGAGGAAGCCAACUUUGAAAAGACCAAGGCUUUAAUCCAGUGUGAGCAGCUGAGGAAUGAGCUAGAGAGACAGACAGAGCGACUUGAAAAAGAACUUUCAUCUCAGCAAAAGAAAAGGGCCUCUGACAAAGAGAUGAUGAAAAAAGAAAUAGCAAAAGAAAGGGAAGGCAUGGAAUCUAAGAUGUUGCUCCUAUCUCAAAAUAUUGUCCAGCUGGAAUCCCAGGUGGAAAAGGUUACAAGGGAGAAAAUUUCUGCUAUUAAUCAACUAGAGGAAGUUCAAAACCAGCUGGCAUCUCAGGAAAUGGAUGUCACAAAGGUGUGUGGAGAACUGCGCUUCCAGUUGAAUAAAGCUAAAGUGGAGAAGGACGAGACAGAAAAGGAGCACAAAGAGUACAGAGUAAAAACUAAAAGGGAUCUUGAAAUUAAAGAUCAGGAAAUAGAGAAAUUGAGAGCAGAACUGAGUGAAAGCAAGCGGCACGUGGAACAGGAGCAGCAGCAGGCAGCCCGGGCCAGAGAGGAGUGUCUGAGACUAACAGAAUUGCUGGGCAAAUGUGAGCACCAACUGCACCUCACCAGACUGGAAAAAGAUAGCAUUCAGCAGAGCCUUAGCAAUGAAGCAAAGGCCCAAGCCCUUCAGGCCCAGCAAAGAGAGCAGGAGCUGACACAGAAGAUAGAGCAAAUGGAGGCCCAGCAUGACAAAACUGAAAAAGAGCAGUAUUCUCUGAUGACCUCCCAGAAUACAUUUUUGAUAAAGUUAAAGGAAGAGUGCUGUUCAUUAGUCAAGAAACUGGAGCAGAUCUCUCAAAAAAGCAGAUCCGAAAUAGCUCUGCUGAGUCAAGAAAAAAUAUAUACACAUCAUAAACUGGAGAAGUUACAGAGGAGAAAUAAUGAACUGGAGGAACAGUGUGUCCAGCAUGGGAGAGUACAUGAGACAAUGAAGGAGAGGCUCCGGCAGCUGGAUAAGCACAGCCAGGCCACAGCCCAGCAGCUGGCACAGCUGCUCAACAGACAGAGCCAGCUUCUCCUGGAGAGACAGAGCCUGUCAGAAGAGGUGGACCGGCUACGGGCCCAGCUUGAAAGUCAGGAAUUGAGGCCCGGAAGUGGUGCCUGUGCAGAAGGAAGGGGCACCGAGACCUGCGCUGAGCCAGUCCUUGCACAGCCCUGGGUCACACCGGGCAUGCAGCACUGGCCAGAGAGAGGAGGACAGGGAGGACCACAUGGUCAGUUAGGGAAACUGAGGCUCAAACAAGCAUAUGCAGCUAGCAACACUACACACCGGACCGAAGUCUGACGACAGCCCCGGCCUUCCCCGUCCUGGUUAGAUAAUGGGGGAAGAAAGAGUCCAGUUACCCAGCAUGCCACAAUCUGAUUGCUGACCUGGAUGAAACAGAGUGAAAUAAAUGAUUUACAAA